rnacentral:rRNA from 1 species
GGAACUGAGACACGGUCCAGACUCCUACGGGAGGCAGCAGUAGGGAAUAUUGCGCAAUGGGGGAAACCCUGACGCAGCAAUGCCACGUGAGUGAGGACGGCCCUCGGGUUGUAAAGCUCUGUCCUAUAGGAAGAACGGCUUUGGGUAACGCCAAAGUUUGACGGUACUAUAGAAGAAAGCACCGGCUAACUCCGUGCCAGCAGCCGCGGUAAUACGGAGGGUGCAAGCGUUGUUCGGAUUUACUGGGCGUAAAGCGCGCGCAGGCGGAUUAGCAAGUCAGAUGUGAAAUCUCGGGGCUCAACCUCGAAACUGCGUCUGAAACUGUUGAUCUAGAAUAUCAUAGGGGGUAGGGGAAUUUCACGUGUAGGGGUAAAAUCCGUAGAGAUGUGAAGGAACACCGGAGGCGAAGGCGCCUACCUGGAUGAUUAUUGACGCUGAGGCGCGAAAGCGUGGGGAGCAAACAGGAUUAGAUACCCUGGUAGUCCACGCCGUAAACGAUGAGUACUAGUUUUCAGAGGUAUUGACCCCUUUGGGAACGCAGCUAACGCAUUAAGUACUCCGCCUGGGAAGUACGGUCGCAAGACUAAAACUCAAAGGAAUUGACGGGGGCCCGCACAAGCGGUGGAUUAUGUGGUUUAAUUCGAAGCAACGCGCAGAACCUUACCUAGGCUUGAAAUCCUACGAAUUUGGGGUAAUUCCCGAAGUGCUCGCAAGAGAAUGUAGUGACAGGUGCUGCAUGGCUGUCGUCAGCUCGUGUUGUGAAAUGUUGGGUUAAGUCUCGCAACGAGCGCAACCCCUAUCUUUAGUUGCCAGCAUUCAGUUGGGCACUCUAGAGAGACUGCCCGGGUUAACCGGGAGGAAGGGGGGGAUGACGUCAAGUCCUCAUGGCCCUUAUGCC